AGAGCGAACGCUGGCGGCAGGCUUAACACAUGCAAGUCGAGCGCCCCGCAAGGGGAGCGGCAGACGGGAGAGUAACACGUGGGAACGUACCUUUCGGUUCGGAACAACCCAGGGAAACUUGGGCUAAUACCGGAUACGUCCGUAAGGAGAAAGAUUUAUCGCCGAAAGAUCGGCCCGCGUCUGAUUAGCUAGUUGGUGAGGUAACGGCUCACCAAGGCGACGAUCAGUAGCUGGUCUGAGAGAUGAUCAGCCUCACUGGGACUGAGACACGGCCCAGACUCCUACGGGAGGCAGCAGUGGGGAAUAUUGGACAAUGGGCGCAAGCCUGAUCCAGCCAUGCCGCGUGGGUGAUGAAGGCCCUAGGGUUGUAAAGCCCUUUCGGCGGGGAAGAUAAUGACGGUACCCGCAGAAGAAGCCCGGCUAACUUCGUGCCAGCAGCCGC
rnacentral:rRNA from 1 species